rnacentral:lncRNA from 1 species
UGUUCUUGGUUCUUAUCUUAGAGGACCAGGAGGUCGAUAUCACUAGAAACCUUGUCAGCGUUAAGAAAAUGCAAGAGAAUCAAAUGAAGUGCACCAAGUUCCUGACCCAACUGAGGGGCAAAAUCUCGGAUGAUGCCCUAGAAGAGAAAGAUCAUAAACCAGGGACUGAAGAGCUGAAUGAAAUCUGGUCAGCUGUCAACACUUUACGCAACUCCAUUAUGAACAACAGCACAUGGAGUGAGAAGAGGAAUUCUUCAAGAAUGAAAGCAUCGAAAAUCUAACUCACCUAGUUCCAGUCCCUCUGACUCUGCUCUCCAUCAGCAUCGCCGCAGUAGCUCAGAGCACAGUUCCUAGAAGGGCAAGGUGAGUUCCCCUUUUUUUCUCUUGCUCCUUGCAUUCGAGAG